rnacentral:rRNA from 1 species
AGUAACGGCGAGUGAACAGGGAAAAGCCCAAAUUUGUAAUCUGGCACUUUUUACGAGUGUCCGAGUUGUAAUUUGUAGAACUGUUAUCCGUGCUGGACCAUGUACAAGUCUGUUGAAAAGCAGCAUCAUUGAAGGUGAAAAUCCUGUAGAUGAUAUGGACUACCAGUACUUUUGUGAUACGGUUUCUAAGAGUCGAGUUGUUUGGGAAUGCAGCUCAAAGUGGGUGGUAAAUUCCAUCUAAGGCUAAAUAUAAGUGAGAGACCGAUAGCAAACAAGUACCGUGAGGGAAAGAUGAAAAGAACUUUGAAAAUAGAGUUAACAGUACGUGAAAUUGCUGAAAGGGAAACGUUUGAAGUUAGUUUUGUAUUCGUUGGAUCAGCUUCGCAAGGAGUGUAUUCUGAUGAUAAGCAAGUCAACAUCAGUCUAUGAGUGUUGGAGAAGGGUUUUGAGAAUGUAGCAAUUUAAUUGUGUUAUAGCUUGAGACUUGGAUACAAUGCUUUGGAUUGAGGAACGCGUAGUAAGCUUUGAGCGGAUUCGAAAGGAUCUCCUUACUAUGGAUGUUGGUGAAAUAACUUUAAGAAUCGAACC